AUGAACGCUAGCUACAGGCUUAACACAUGCAAGUCGAGGGGCAGCAUGGUCUUAGCUUGCUAAGGCCGAUGGCGACCGGCGCACGGGUGAGUAACACGUAUCCAACCUGCCGUCUACUCUUGGACAGCCUUCUGAAAGGAAGAUUAAUACAAGAUGGCAUCAUGAGUCCGCAUGUUCACAUGAUUAAAGGUAUUCCGGUAGACGAUGGGGAUGCGUUCCAUUAGAUAGUAGGCGGGGUAACGGCCCACCUAGUCUUCGAUGGAUAGGGGUUCUGAGAGGAAGGUCCCCCACAUUGGAACUGAGACACGGUCCAAACUCCUACGGGAGGCAGCAGUGAGGAAUAUUGGUCAAUGGGCGAGAGCCUGAACCAGCCAAGUAGCGUGAAGGAUGACUGCCCUAUGGGUUGUAAACUUCUUUUAUAAAGGAAUAAAGUCGGGUAUGCAUACCCGUUUGCAUGUACUUUAUGAAUAAGGAUCGGCUAACUCCGUGCCAGCAGCCGCGGUAAUACGGAGGAUCCGAGCGUUAUCCGGAUUUAUUGGGUUUAAAGGGAGCGUAGAUGGAUGUUUAAGUCAGUUGUGAAAGUUUGCGGCUCAACCGUAAAAUUGCAGUUGAUACUGGAUAUCUUGAGUGCAGUUGAGGCAGGCGGAAUUCGUGGUGUAGCGGUGAAAUGCUUAGAUAUCACGAAGAACUCCGAUUGCGAAGGCAGCCUGCUAAGCUGCAACUGACAUUGAGGCUCGAAAGUGUGGGUAUCAAACAGGAUUAGAUACCCUGGUGGUCCACACGGUAAACGAUGAAUACUCGCUGUUUGCGAUAUACUGCAAGCGGCCAAGCGAAAGCGUUAAGUAUUCCACCUGGGGAGUACGCCGGCAACGGUGAAACUCAAAGGAAUUGACGGGGGCCCGCACAAGCGGAGGAACAUGUGGUUUAAUUCGAUGAUACGCGAGGAACCUUACCCGGGCUUAAAUUGCAGAUGAAUUACGGUGAAAGCCGUAAGCCGCAAGGCAUCUGUGAAGGUGCUGCAUGGUUGUCGUCAGCUCGUGCCGUGAGGUGUCGGCUUAAGUGCCAUAACGAGCGCAACCCUUGUUGUCAGUUACUAACAGGUUCCGCUGAGGACUCUGACAAGACUGCCAUCGUAAGAUGUGAGGAAGGUGGGGAUGACGUCAAAUCAGCACGGCCCUUACGUCCGGGGCUACACACGUGUUACAAUGGGGGGUACAGAGGGCCGCUACCACGCGAGUGGAUGCCAAUCCCCAAAACCUCUCUCAGUUCGGACUGGAGUCUGCAACCCGACUCCACGAAGCUGGAUUCGCUAGUAAUCGCGCAUCAGCCACGGCGCGGUGAAUACGUUCCCGGGCCUUGUACACACCGCCCGUCAAGCCAUGGGAGCCGGGGGUACCUGAAGUGCGUAACCGCGAGGAGCGCCCUAGGGUAAAACUGGUGACUGGGGC
rnacentral:rRNA from 1 species